UAAAAUUCGGGCUAAAAUGGGGAAAAUACCAAGUUGUGGACGAAAUGGUAAAAAUAGCCAUUUUCGCAUACGAGUGUUGACAAGCCAGCUCGGAAAUCAGAAAUGGUCGGAGGCACGCUCACACUAUCCGUAUACCAUCUUGGCAUAAUGGCUUGUAUAUUUUGAGUAUGGCAUGUAUAGCAUUAUAAUCAUUUUAUAUGUAUGGUCUUAUGAUAUGGUUAUUGAGUGGUAUGGAAAUAGAAAUGCUUGGUAAUGAUUAGCCAUUGGAAUGGCUAAUCAUGAUCA